AGUGAACGCUGGCGGUAGGCCUAACACAUGCAAGUCGAACGGCAGCACAGUAAGAGCUUGCUCUUACGGGUGGCGAGUGGCGGACGGGUGAGGAAUACAUCGGAAUCUACUUUUUCGUGGGGGAUAACGUAGGGAAACUUACGCUAAUACCGCAUACGACCUACGGGUGAAAGCAGGGGAACUUCGGACCUUGCGCGAUUGAAUGAGCCGAUGUCGGAUUAGCUAGUUGGCGGGGUAAAGGCCCACCAAGGCGACGAUCCGUAGCUGGUCUGAGAGGAUGAUCGGCCACAAGGGAACUGAGACACGGGCCAGACCCCUACGGGAGGAAGCAGGGGGGAAUAUUGGAAAAGGGGGGCAAGCCUGAUCCAGCCAUCCCGGGGGGGUGAAGAAGGCCUUCGGGUUGUAAAGCCCUUUUUUUGGGAAAAAAAAACAGCAGGUUAAGACCCCCCUGUUCGGACGGUACCCAAAGAAUAAGCACCGGCUAACUUCGU
rnacentral:rRNA from 1 species